AACGAACGCUGGCGGCAUGCCUAACACAUGCAAGUCGAACGAGACCUUCGGGUCUAGUGGCGCACGGGUGCGUAACGCGUGGGAAUCUGCCCUUCGGUUGGGAAUAACUGAGAGAAAUUUCAGCUAAUACCUUAUAAUGUCUUCGGACCAAAGAUUUAUCGCCGAGGGAUGAGCCCGCGUAGGAUUAGGUAGUUGGUGGGGUAAUGGCCUACCAAGCCGACGAUCCUUAGCUGGUCUGAGAGGAUGAUCAGCCACACUGGGACUGAGACACGGCCCAGACUCCUACGGGAGGCAGCAGUGGGGAAUAUUGGACAAUGGGCGAAAGCCUGAUCCAGCAAUGCCGCGUGAGUGAUGAAGGCCUUAGGGUUGUAAAGCUCUUUUACCCGGGAUGAUAAUGACAGUACCGGGAGAAUAAGCUCCGGCUAACGCCGUG
rnacentral:rRNA from 1 species